CUAAAAAGUUCUAAAAGCACAAAGAUUUGGUCCUGGUCUUAUUGUCAGUUAUCUCUUGAUUUACACAUGCAAGUCUCAGCACACCAGUGAGGACGCCCUUACCCCUUCUAUAGGACAAGGAGCUGAUAUCAGGCACUUCCACCGCCCAUAACAUCUAGUCCGACCACACCCCCAAGGGUAUUCAGCAGUGAUAAACAUUGUUUAUAAGCGACAGCUUGACUCAGUCAAAGAGAAGAGGGCCGGCCAACCCGGUGCCAGCCGCCGCGGCUAAACCCUAGGGCCCAAAUUGAUAAUACUCGGCGUCAAUCGUGAUUAAAGCUUUCUAAAAUUAGAGUAGAACCUAUUAUUAAGCUGUGAAAAGCAAUUUUUUUAGGGAAAAUCAGAAACGAAAGUUACUCUAAUACACACUUGAACACACGACAACUGGGAAACAAACUGGGAUUA
rnacentral:rRNA from 1 species